rnacentral:rRNA from 1 species
UACAGAGGAGCCAAGCGUUGUCCGGAUUGACUGGGCGUAAAGCGCACGCAGGCGGAUGCGCGCGUGGGGUGUGAAAUCUGGCCGCUUAACGGCCAGGCGCCAUCCCAUACGGCGCGUCUGGAGUGAUGCAGAGGUCGGUGGAAUUCCCGGUGUAGCGGUGAAAUGCGCAGAUAUCGGGAGGAACACCGGUGGCGAAGGCGGUUCUCUGGGCCUUACCUGACGCUGAGGAGCGAAAGCGUGGGGAGCGAACAGG